rnacentral:rRNA from 1 species
UGGGGAAUAUUGCACAAUGGAGGGAACUCUGAUGCAGCGACGCCGCGUGAACGAAGAAGGCUUUCGAGUCGUAAAGUUCUUUUAUAUGGGAAGAUAAUGACGGUACCAUAAGAAAAAGCCCCGGCUAACUACGUGCCAGCAGCCGCGGUAAUACGUAGGGGGCUAGCGUUAGCCGGAAUCACUGGGCGUAAAGGGUUCGCAGGCGGAAAUGCAAGUCAGGUGUAAAAGGCAGUAGCUUAACUACUGUAAGCAUUUGAAACUGCAUAUCUUGAGAAGAGUAGAGUUAAGUGAAAUUUGUAGUAUAGCAGUGAAAUGCGUAGAUAUGAAGAAGGAUACCGGUGGCGAAGGCGACUUACGGGGCUCAUUCUUACGCUGAGAAACGAUAGGGUGGAUAGCAAACAGG